rnacentral:sRNA from 1 species
AUAGCCGAAAUAUUCAAUCCCGGAUUUGACCUUUACCUGAAUUCAUAUUAGUUUAGGUUUAUUUUUUCGUAGUAUAUAUAUACUUGAAUUAACUAUUUGUACCCUUAUUCGCUAUUGUUUUUAUUUUGAAUAUUUCGAAGUUCAAGCCUGAAGACCUGGACUCACAUUACGUUAAAUUCAUCGCCUUUGGAUAAGAGAUUCUUUCCAACAGGUGUCGAAUCCAUCACUUCUACUCGAGAGAUUUACCAUUAGGUUAACCCCACGUUGGUCUUAUCCGCUAUUAUCUACUCCUAAUUCUUGAUAUUGACAUCAAAGACUCAAAAAUUAUAGUGUAUGUUAUUAUUUAGAUCAUUCGGA